rnacentral:rRNA from 1 species
AGUGAACGCUGGCGGUAGGCCUAACACAUGCAAGUCGAACGGCAGCACAGUAAGAGCUUGCUCUUACGGGUGGCGAGUGGCGGACGGGUGAGGAAUACAUCGGAUUCUACUUUUUCGUGGGGGAUAGCGUAGGGAAACUUACGCUAAUACCGCAUACGACCUACGGGUGAAAGCAGUGGAUCUUCGGACCUUGCGCGAUUGAAUGAGCCGAUGUCGGAUUAGCUAGUUGGCGGGGUAAAGGCCCACCAAGGCGACGAUCCGUAGCUGGUCUGAGAGGAUGAUCAGCCACACUGGAACUGAGACACGGUCCAGACUCCUACGGGAGGCAGCAGUGGGGAAUAUUGGACAAUGGGCGCAAGCCUGAUCCAGCCAUACCGCGUGAGUGAAGAAGGCCUUCGGGUUGUAAAGCCCUUUUGUUGGGAAAGAAAAGCAGCAGGUGAAUACCCCGCUGUUCUGACGGUACCCAAAGAAUAAGCACCGGCUAACUUCGUG